GUAAGCCCUCACUCCAUGUCUUAGUUAGGGUUUUACUGCUGUGAACAGACACCAGGCCCAAGGCAAGUCUUAUAAAAAGCAACAUUUAAUUGGAGCUGGCUUACAGGUUCAGAGGUUCAGUCCAUUAUCAUCAAGGUGGGAGCAUGGCAGUUAUCCAGGCAGGCAUGGUGCAGGAGGCGCUGAGAGUUCUCUGUCUUCAUCCAAAUGCUGGUAGUGGAAGACUGAAUUCCAGGCAACUAGGGUGAGGAUCUUAUGCCCACACCCACAGCGACACACCCAUU
rnacentral:lncRNA from 1 species